GCGGGGAUGGCCCAGCCAGGUAGGGCGUCGGCCUGCUAAGCCGAUGGGCUCGCGCCCGCCCGGGUUCAAAUCCCGGUCCCCGCGCCA
rnacentral:tRNA from 1 species